rnacentral:rRNA from 1 species
AAUCUGCCCUCCACUUUGGGAUAACUCCGGGAAACCGGGGCUAAUACCGAAUAUUGAAACAUAAGUGGCAUCACUGAGUUUUGAAAGAAUUUCGGUGGAGGAUGACUUCGCGGCCUAUCAGCUUGUUGGUGAGGUAAUGGCUCACCAAGGCGACGACGGGUAGCCGGCCUGAGAGGGCGACCGGCCACACUGGGACUGAUACACGGCCCAGACUCCUACGGGAGGCAGCAGUGGGGAAUAUUGGGCAAUGGACGCAAGUCUGACCCAGCGACGCCGCGUGCGG